AUUGAACGCUGGCGGCAUGCUUUACACAUGCAAGUCGAACGGUAACAGGCCUUCGGGUGCUGACGAGUGGCGAACGGGUGAGUAAUGCAUCGGAACGUGCCCAGAGGUGGGGGAUAACGCAGCGAAAGCUGUGCUAAUACCGCAUGUGAUCUGAGGAUGAAAGCGGGGGACCAGGCAGCAAUGUUUGGCCUCGCGCCUUUGGAGCGGCCGAUGUCAGAUUAGGUAGUUGGUGGGGUAAAGGCCUACCAAGCCGACGAUCUGUAGCUGGUCUGAGAGGACGACCAGCCACACUGGGACUGAGAUACGGCCCAGACUCCUACGGGAGGCAGCAGUGGGGAAUUUUGGACAAUGGGCGCAAGCCUGAUCCAGCAAUGCCGCGUGCGGGAAGAAGGCCUUCGGGUUGUAAACCGCUUUUGUACGGAACGAAAAGGCUCUGGCUAAUACCUGGGGCUGAUGACGGUACCGUAAGAAUAAGCACCGGCUAACUACGUG
rnacentral:rRNA from 1 species